UAAUAAGUGUUUUAUGGCACUUUUUAAAUCCAUAUCCACCUUGUGUGCAAUGUCAGUCGAUCUUCUUCAUGGAGAUCGACCAAACAUCAACCUUUAUCUUUUAACUUUUUGUCUGAAAAAUAUUAUGAAUAAACAAUUCAAAAUA
rnacentral:misc_RNA from 1 species